rnacentral:ncRNA from 14 species
ACAACAUAUGGGGUUGUCGGCGACACCCGACACAAGAUGUAUGCUCAUGCUCGCUGUCGUCGCAGGGGAAUCCGGUGUGAAUCCGGAACUGUCCCGCAACGGUGUACCCAUGCCCGCCCCCGCCGAGGUGCGCGCACGGGCGUCAGUCCGAGGACCUGCCGACAGUGCGCCCGGCCGU